rnacentral:RNase_P_RNA from 1 species
UGUACAGACACGAUGAUUGCCUCGUAUUUAUACGAGGAGGAAAGUCCGGACACGCCCACAUUUAUUUGUGGAGGAUGGUAGCGGGUAACACCCGUCGUAUAGCAGUAUAAGAGGUGCGAGCAGAGACGUUCAAAGCGAAAGCUGAGGAGUUCCUUCGGGAAUAGCCUUUUGGGAAACCAAGAGGGUGAAACGGCUAAAUCCUUACCUGCGUGCAAGACCGCGCUUUGCCGGCUCAAUAUCCUUCUGGGAUUUUGAGCCGGCAAAGAGAGUCGCAAGAGGUGUAUAGCAAUAUACAUCCUAGGUAAAUAAUCAUCCGGGCUUCGGCCUGACAGAAUCCGGCUUAUGUGUACAAAAA